UUUAUACGUUCAUAGAAGAAUCAUUUUAAGUGGUGUAAUUUGUACAGUGUCCACAAUUGUAAUACGGCAACGAAACACGCAGAAAAUGAACGAGCCCGCGCUUAUAGUACUUGCCAAUUACAAAAAUAAGGAAGCGGUAAAAUAGCCGCUACUUGCCCGGCAAAAUUUCCCGUAAACUUGGCAGUGGAACAUCCAUUGUGCGAGCUAAAUUCAUCUCUUCAAGCUUUUAAGCCUUUUCCGCGUAGAAUUUAAGCCAACGUCGCGGGAAAAGCUUACUCGCUAUUACCUUAAUUGCAUUAACGAUUAAAAGAAGAAGGUGGAAUAGGCGUUAUGCAAUUCGAACGGAGCCGUUCAAUGUUAAUCAGAUUUACGAAGUCCUUCUUUUCUUCGUAGGUGUUACAAAUGAACCCUUCAAAUCCGUAAAAAUCUUGUCUGAAUUGAGACGCAAAUAAAUUUAAAGAGUUAAGUUGUUAAGUACAGGGUGUGUUACAAAAGUAUUACCGUUUCUUUAUAAUCUGGGCGGGGCAUAGAAAAGGGCCUCUAUUGGUGGGAAUGGUGGUGGGGGAAGUCGCGAACAGAAUGCGUGCUCAGUCGUUUCUGAACAUUUACAUCGCAAACAUUACCAAAAUAAUGAAAUUCUGUUGAUACACAAGUUUGAGAAAUUAGGAAAACUACAACUUGCAGUUUUAAGAUGUCAAACUCCAUCUGACUUUUCCUUUUUCCUCGAUUAAAAAGGUAGAUAAAAAGACAUCGCUUUAAACCAACAGCAGCAAAAGGAUGCAACGCGUGAAUUGAGGAGCAACUCCAUUAAAAAUUUCCAGUACACGCAUGCGCAUUGGCAGACUCGCUAUGACGUAUUAACGCAGGAGGGUGUUAUUUCAAAGAAUAGUAAAUUUUGCUGCGACGUGAAAGACUUUUUCUAUAAAAAGAAAACUCUAUGAUUUUGAAGUACAUGAAAGGACAAAAACUGAGAGGAAGUAAAAAAUUCUGAAAAACAUGAUGUAACUAUUGAAAGAGUCUAAGAGGUGCAACAAAUGCUCAGUCUGAAGCAUUUACACCUUCCAAAGGGACAAAAGAUUUUCUAAAUUUCAAAAUAUCUACUCGUAAUAACGACAUCUUAACAAUAUUGAAAUGAUAUUGUUAAAUAUCGAUAGAGUAUCGAUAUGUCAUCGAUAAUCGAUAAUCGCCUUUCUAUUUUCACCCACGGACCACGUUCCUAUCAUGCACAAUAUUUACAGCGAUGAAUCAACUAUAGAAUAAAUUUCACUCUACUAAUCUCUUUAUACACAUCGACUCGUAUUACACGACAGUAAUGGAAGCUGUGAUCCACGUGUUUUCUUCCGUAUGACAGUUCAACAACGUUUAUCAAAGAAAUGACCAACAUUUGACCGGGAAACUAUGAACCUUCGUUAUCAGUACGCAAGGAGAACGAACUCGUGGUACCACGUGUUUCGUUUAACGAUUAAUCUUCAAUUAUUAACUUUAAACCGCUGAUGUUCAUCUCGUGUGAAGGAGAUAAUUAGUAUGACUCAACAUAAAUGUUCUGAUUGACGCAUAUUGAGUUAAAUACAUGAACAUAAUUGAAGAAAUAAGAAUUUCAACUUUAUACUAAUUUUUAGUUCUUUUACGUGACAUGUAUGUCAAUAUUUAAUGUGUACAAAAAUAUUUCCAUAACUUGAAUGAUGAAAUAAUAACCAGAAUACA